UAACACAGACUUUUUGAAGAAUAGGCUUUUUGAAAAAGAUCAGUUUUUAGUUAUCUAAAAUCCUGUUUACAUGUGAAUAACAUCUCUUAUAGAUGGCGACUGAGAGACACAUGAGAGAUUACUGGGGUGUUUUUUUUUUCUUUUUUUCAGGAUACACUUAUGCAAUUGUCCCUUAUUGCCAUUUAGAAGAAACUGAUUUUUAAAGAGAGUGAUUUUUCUUUCCUGUGGAGGAGCUCUCAUUACUCACUCUAUAUUGCAGAUUCUCAGCUAAUACUGGAGUUUCAGAGACCCAUCAGAGAGAGAGCCAGUGCACUGCUGCCCCAGAGACUCCCUCAGGCUUAUAGAUCAUUUCUUCCUUGUUUUAGGAACGACUCUGACAAUAACCUCCUGAUUCCCAUCAGCCCCGUGUCCGGCAGCAUUCCAUCACUCUUCGACGAUAUCGAUCUAGCCGUCUCUCUCGUCUGCCUCAUCAAUGCACACGUAUGACUGAGGACGACUGUGGGCUGACGUGCUGCAGCAUACGGACAAAAUGCAUUUCACCUCUGAUUCCAGCACACUUGGCUUUUCUGUCUGUUUUUUUCAAGACCUUCACAAGACAUUAAUUGAUGGACCAGAGUGGUGUGGAUUAUUGUGAUGUUUUGAUCAGCUGUAAGGACUCUCAUUCUGAUGGCACCCAUUCACUGCAGAGCAUCCAUUGAGCUCUGGAUGAAGCACUGCAUCAGUCAGGAAGAGGCUGCUCAUAAUUUCACGCUGAGCUUGUAUCAGAGUUUUUUGUCCUGUCAAGUGGAGCGGGUCUCCCAUCAGCCAGUGGGCAGCGCCAGCAGCUGGCCAACCCAUGGCAGAAAAGUCAGAUAAAAGGUUCAAAAUGAAGCACAUUCUGUAUGGAAUUUUAUACAACAGGAGAUCCCAGAUUAGUUUAUUCUAAUGGAUGUGGAUUAAACGCCCUCUUGUGGGCCGGAGUCAUAAAUCCUCAAAGAUAAAUACAAAACCUAUCUAUCCAUCUAUCUAUCUAUCCAUCCGUCCAUCCGUCCGUCAUUCUAUCUAUUGUUUUAUUUGUUCAAUCUAUUGUUGUAUCUGUCUAUCUACACUGUAAAAAAAACCCUGACAUUUACGGUAAAAAGUCUGUAAAACAUUUUAGGUUUUACAGACUUAACUUAAAU
ensembl:lncRNA